rnacentral:rRNA from 1 species
AACGUAGGACGCAAGCGUUAUCCGGAUUUACUGGGCGUAAAGGGCGGGCAGGUGGCAGGCCAAGUUGGAUGUGAAAGCUCCCGGCUCAACUGGGAGAGGCCAUUCAAGACUGGUCAGCUGGAGGGCAGCAGGGGGGCGUGGAAUUCCGGGUGGAGUGGUGAAAUGCGUAGAGAUCCGGAGGAACACCAGAAGCGAAGGCGGCGCCCUGGGCUGCAUCUGACACUGAACCGCGAAGGCGUGGGUAGCGAACGGG